rnacentral:ncRNA from 10 species
GAUGAGCAUCAAGAGCGUCGUCGGGAUGGUCCCGACACCACCAACCGGUCCUCCAUCCGGUGGUUCCCAUCUUGGGGAUGCGGCCCUUAGGGCAAAGGAGGCCAU